rfam:Streptomyces scabrisporus strain NF3 contig3, whole genome shotgun sequence.
CUUGAUCGACCCGAGCCACAAGGGCCGCCGCGGAUCGCGUCCCUGCCCGUAGGUGGCCAGCAGGGCCUGCGCCUC